CAAAAGUAUUUUCUCAGUGUCCGGUAAAAAUAUAAUAAAAGAAAAAAAGCAACACUAACUGCAAAACAUAAGCGCUUUCAUUGUUAAAAAUCUUCAGACGUUUUUUUUAAAAAGUUUUAAGUGCAAAAAGUUCAUUUAAUUGACUACACACCCCUGAAUUUGGUUUAUAGGAGAGAAACUAACGACCCUGUAGCAAUGCAUUUUUAUACUGACGAACAUACAGUUGAGGAUUAUUCUGUAAUAGGUAUCGAAAAAUUGUACAAAGAUGAAACUUUUCCGAAGUGGUGAUAAAUGAAUCAAGUCUGCAUACGAUAGUAUUGAAGGAUAUGGAAUCAACAUUUGGAAAAAUGGCCACUAAAUGUGAACCUUUAAUUAACAAGUGUGUGCAAUAUUGUUGGUUGAUGUGCAUUCAGGAUCCACCGAUGUGUUUAGUUGACUUUGGAAGAGGACUGGAAUUCAAUAGCAACGAGAUGAGGUCUUUUACAAAAUCUGGAAAAUUUGUUACAGAAAAUUCAGAGAAAAUUUGUGGAAGAAAAAAUUAAAUACUUAUAUGCCUUUUGGUAUCAACAAAAGGGAACAUUAUUGUCUUUAGACUACAUUAUUACUAGUUUGUAUAGACAUUUCCUUUAUUUUAUGUCCCGUUAUCUAUACAUUUUUCAUAUUUUACUUGUUUAUGUACUAAUUACGGCUAUCAAUGUGCUUUCUAUAGACUCUCACCUAUAUUUCAUAUGUUUUUGGCGCAAUAUUGUUGUAUGACGUCACUUGCCAGACUGUAUUAACAUUAUGACGUCAUAGUAUAUGUUCUACGUUGUGUUGCUAUAGACAAUAAACACCGACUGAUGAAGACCGGUAACACGGUCGAAAUAUUUGAAA